AAGUGUAAAGGAGGCAUGGGUUUUAGAGAUUUACAUGCUUUUAAUCUUGCUAUGCUUGCUAAAAAGAGUUGGAGAUUAGUUACACAUCCUGAUACUUUGUGUGCACGGGUAUUACGAGACAAAUACUACCCACAUGGAAAUGUUUUGAAAGCCGGGUCAAAGAAGGGCUCAUCCUUCAUAUGGCAAAGUAUUGUUGCGGGACUCCAAACCUUUAAAAGGGGCCAUAUUUGGAGGGUUGAAACAGGCGCACAUAUACAUAUUUGGGACGAUCAUUCGGUACCUUAAAAUCCUUCGAGGAAAGUUAUAACGCAAAGAGAUGAUGCUUUGCUGACUACUAUUGACGCAUUGAUCGAUCCAUUAACAGGAUACUCGGAUGAAAUAUUCUUAAGACAAGUUUUUGUGCCUUUGGAUACAAAGAGGAUCCUCAAAAUUCCGUUGUUAGAACAUCUCACAGAGGAUUUCAUAUCUUGGCACAAAAUGAGAACACACCAAUUUUCUAUGAGGUCAGCAUACUAUUUAGAAUGGGAGCAUCAGUUUGGUACAAAGUUAAGAAGAGACCUAGCUGAAACAUCUAGCACUAAUCCCGUCUGGGAGAUUCUGUGGAAAAUACAAAUCCCAAGAAAUAUAAAAAAUAUUUGCAUGGCGUGCGUUGCAUGGGUGAUGGCCUGCAAGUGCACAUGGUUUAGUUAUACCCUUUUUGAAGUAAGAGUAUCGAUCCCACAGGGAGCAUAA
rnacentral:rRNA from 1 species